GUGUGACGAAAAAUUAUGGAUGAAAUACGGGAGAAGCGGGGUUUGAAGUCUUUCGUUCGUCACACACACAUGCCUUUACCAGCGGAUAUCGCUGGACCGAGUCUACCCAUCUCUCUCGAUACACCAUGAUUUUUCUGCUAUCGCGCUCAUCCGGGUGUUAGGCAUCCUCAGUCUGUCCAGAACUUUCCCUAUGGAAGGAUGUACUGAAGUGAGGUGCGAUUUAUUGUGCGACAUACUUUGCUCAUUUACGUUUUGUGCCGUGUUCUUCUUCCUCAGUAAUGGAAUGAUUUAUCCUAGCAAAUUGUUGAGGUAAGUUUCUUGCUGUGUGCUUGUGCAGGUACAUUCAACUAACCCUUGGCGUCUAAAAAGUUACAGGUGUGUGCGCUAUUUAUCAACGACUACCUGCUAGCCUCGUCAUCAAUCUUCAAAGUGAGCGACGGAAAGAAAACGUUUUCCAGUUUUAAAAUAUUAAGCCCCCGGUGAGGACGUCAUUACUUAACAGAAGCCGGUUCAACACGCGCAGCUCCUGUUCAUGACGUCAUCACUAAAAUGAAGCCAGCUGAGCACGCGCAGCACGGAUGGUACCCCGAGCGCGGCAGGAGAAAGGAAGAACGAGAGGAGGAAGAACGGUAAAUUUGGAAGGGGGAAAGCGUUCUGCCGUCUACACAGCGGGAGUAUGCCAAAACACAUGUACCCAAGUAGCAGAGCCGAAGUUGUUGAGAGGUUUUUCUGUGUGCCAAAGCGAGAGGCCCUGUCUUCUCUCUCUAGAUUUUGGACGGCAAACCGCCGCCCGUGUAGAGGUGUGUGCGUGUGACGAAAAAUUAUGGAUGAAAUACGGGGCAAGCGGGGUUUGAAGUCUUUCGUUCGUCACACACACAUGCAUUUACCAGCGGAUAACGCUGGACCGAGUCUACCCAUCUCUCUCGAUCCAACAUGAUUUUUCUGCUAUCGCGCUCAUCCGGGUGUUAGGCAUCCUCAGUCUGUCCAGAACUUUCCCUAUGGAAGGAUGUACUGAAGUGAGGUGCGAUUUAUUGUGCGACGUACUUUGUUCAUUUACGUUUUGUGCCGUGUUCCUUCUUCCUCAGUAAUGGAAUGAUUUAUCCUAGCAAAUUGUUGAGGUAAGAUUCUUGCUGUGUGCUUGUGCAGGUACAUUCAACUAACCCUUGGCGUCUAAAAAGUUACAGGUGUGUGCGCUAUUUAUCAACGACUACCUGCUGGCGUCGUCAACAAUCUUCAAAGGAGCGACGGAAAGAAAACGUUUUCCAGUUUUAAAAUAUUAAGCCCCCGGUGAGGACGUCAUUACUUAACAGAAGCCGGUUCAACACGCGCAGCUCCUGUUCAUGACGUCAUCACUAAACUCAAGCCAGCUGAACACGCGCAGCACGGAUGGUACCCCGAGCGCAGUAGGAGGAAGGAAGAACGAGAGGAGGAAGAACGGUAAAUUUGGAAGGGGGAAAGCGUUCUGCCGUCUACACAGCGGGAGUAUGCCAAAACACAUGUGGGAAGGGAGAGGGAUAUUAUUCAAUAAACAGCAUGCGAAUGUGUGCAUAAAGCAAA